ensembl:lncRNA
GAGCGGGCCGCUGCCGUCCAGGAGGACGUUCCCGAGCGGGCCGCUGUCGUCCAGGUGGACGUGCCCGAGGUUCCCGAGGCGGGGCUCGAGGUGGUUCUGGAGGCCGAGGCGGUGCCCGAGGCUGUGCCCGAUGCCGAGGCGGUGCCCGAGGCUGUGUCCGAUGCCGAGGCGGUGCCCGAUGCCGAGGCGGUGCCCGAGGCGGUGCCUGAUGCGGUGGCCGAGGCGGUUCCCGAUGCAAUGUCCGAUGCCGAGGCGGUGCCCGUUGCCGAGGCGGUGCCCGUUGUCGAGGCGGUGCCUGAUGCCGAGGCGGUGCCCGAUUCCGAGGCGGUGCCUGAUGCGGUGGCCGAGGUGGUUCCCGAUGCAAUGUCCGAUGCCGAGGCGGUGCCCGAUGCCGAGGCGGUGCCCGAUGCCGAGGCGGUGCCCGAUGCGGUGCCAGAGACGGUGCCAGAGACGGUUCCCGAUGUAAUGCCCGAGACUGAGGCUGUUCUGGAGGUCAGGGCGGUGCCCGAUGCCGUUCUGGAGGUCGAGGCGGUGCCCGAUGCCGUUCCCGAUGCGGAGGCGGUGCCCGAUGCCGUUCCGCAGGUCGAGGCGGUGCCCGAUGUUGUUCCAGAGACCGAGGCGGUGCCCGAGUUGGUUCCGGAGGCCGAGGCCGUGCCCGAGGCGGUGCCCGAUGCGCAGGCCGAGGUCGUUCCCGAGGCGGUGUCCUUGUCCGAUGCCGUUCCUGAGGCCAUUCCCGAGGCGGUGCCCGAUGCUGUUCCGGAGGCCGAUGCAGGGCCCGAGAUGGUUCCGGAGGCGAUACCCGUGUCCGAGGCCG